rnacentral:rRNA from 1 species
AAUCAACGCUGGCGGCGUGCCUCAGACAUGCAAGUCGAACGAUUAAAGCUCUCUUCGGAGAGUGCAUAAAGUGGCGCACGGGUGAGUAACACGUAAGUAAUCUACCUUCGAGUGGGGAAUAACGUCCGGAAACGGACGCUAAUACCGCAUAACGCAGCGGCAUCGCAAGAUGACAGUUGUUAAAGAUUUAUCGCUUGAAGAGGAGCUUGCGGCAGAUUAGCUUGUUGGUAAGGUAACGGCUUACCAAGGCUACGAUCUGUAACCGGUCUAAGAGGACGGUCGGUCACACUGACACUGAAUAACGGGUCAGACUCCUACGGGAGGCAGCAGUCGGGGAAUUUUGGGCAAUGGGGGAAACCCUGACCCAGCAACGCCGCGUGAAGGAUGAAGUAUUUCGGUAUGUAAACUUCGAAAGAAUAGGAAGAAUUAAUGACGUACUAUUUAUAAGGUCCGGCUAACUACGUGCCAGCCGCCG